CCUACGGGAGGCAGCAGUGGGGAAUAUUGGACAAUGGGGGAAACCCUGAUCCAGCGACGCCGCGUGAGUGAAGAAGUAUUUCGGUACGUAAAGCUCUAUCAGCAGGGAAGAAAGUGACGGUACCUGACUAAGAGGCCCCGGCUAACUACGUGCCAGCAGCCGCGGUAAUACGUAGGGGGCAAGCGUUAUCCGGAUUUACUGGGGGGAAAGGGAGCGUAGACGGCCGCGCAAGUCUGGAGUGAAAUGCCGGGGCCCAACCCCGGAACUGCUCUGGAAACUGUGAAGCUGGAGUGCAGGAGAGGUAAGCGGAAUUCCUGGUGUAGCGGUGAAAUGCGUAGAUAUCAGGAGGAACACCGGCGGCGAAGGCGGCUGACUGGACUGUAACUGACGUUGAGGCUCGAAGGCGUGGGGAGCAAACAGGAUUAGAUACCCGGGUAGUC
rnacentral:rRNA from 1 species